rnacentral:rRNA from 1 species
CGGGGGGGGGGAGAACCAACAGGGAUUGCCCCAGUAACGGCGAGUGAAGCGGCAACAGCUCAAAUUUGAAAUCUGGCCCCCGGGUCCGAGUUGUAAUUUGCAGAGGAUGCUUUGGGCGAGGUGCCUUCCGAGUUCCCUGGAACGGGACGCCACAGAGGGUGAGAGCCCCGUCUGGUCGGACACCGAGCCCGUGUAAAGCUCCUUCGACGAGUCGAGUAGUUUGGGAAUGCUGCUCAAAAUGGGAGGUAUAUGUCUUCUAAAGCUAAAUAUUGGCCAGAGACCGAUAGCGCACAAGUAGAGUGAUCGAAAGAUGAAAAGCACUUUGAAAAGAGGGUUAAAAAGUACGUGAAAUUGUUGAAAGGGAAGCGCCUAUGACCAGACUUGGGCCCGGUGAAUCAUCCAGCGUUCUCGCUGGUGCACUUUGCCGGGCACAGGCCAGCAUCAGUUUGGCGCGGGGGACAAAGGCUUCGGGAAUGUGGCUCCCUCGGGAGUGUUAUAGCCCGCUGCGUAAUACCCUGCGCCGGACUGAGGUACGCGCAUCGCAAGGAUGCUGGCGUAAUGGUCAUCAGCGACCCGUCUUGAAACACGGACCAAGGAGUCGUCUUCGUAUGCGAGUGUUCGGGUGUCAAACCCCUACGCGGAAUGAAAGUGAACGCAGGUGAGAGCUUCGGCGCAUCAUCGACCGAUCCUGAUGUUCUCGGAUGGAUUUGAGUAAGAGCAUACGGGGCCGGACCCGAAAGAAGGUGAACUAUGCCUGUAUAGGGUGAAGCCAGAGGAAACUCUGGUGGAGGCUCGCAGCGGUUCUGACGUGCGAAUCGAUCGUCAAAUAUGGGCAUGGGGGCGAAAGACUAAUCGAACCUUCUAGUAGCUGGUUUCCGCGAGUUCCCCCCCUCUGAGAGAA